rnacentral:lncRNA from 1 species
AUGGGGUAGAGACGCUAGGCCGGCACUGCCUAGGUGGGCCGGGCGGUGCGAGGGUCGCCUUUCAGCCUUUACCUCUACCCACUGAAAUGGAGUAGGUCGGUGAGCGCCGAUCUGCUGGAGAAUCUCAUUAUCCCAUCGGCGCUCUGCCUGCUCCUGGCCUCCAAGCCUCUGAAGCCCCUCGGGUUUCAGCUGCCGGCUACCCUCGAGCCCGUGGUGCCCACGAGAGAGGCGACUUUACGUCAGCGGCCCUGGGCUGAGAUUUGAGAACGCGACCAAGUGGAGAAUGUUGGAGCCAGAUUUUAAAAUCCUUGUCUUCCUUCUGCGUGCUACUUGAUCUAAAUGAGAUACGGCAAAGUCACAGAACCUGUUUUUAUGUUUUUGCCUGAUUCAUACGGGCUUCUCCGGUGAAGAUGGGCCUGAAGUAACGCUUGGGUUGCUUCUGACGUUAUAACUCAUCCUGUAGCUGCAGCAACCGUGGUCCUUGCAACCUCAUAAAAAUGUUGCCAGCAUUGUUUCGAUAGUGCUGCUUAAUUCUUGGAAGGCCUCUUUGCUUUCUUCCCUGAGGUUCUUCGGACUUCACACAUUCCAGCAGUAGCUCUCUCAGCUCCUGUCCUGCACAGCUUUGAAGUGCUGGCUGGAGUGCAGUGGUGCCAUCUCGGCUCACUGCAGCCUCAACCUCCUGGGCUCAAGCGAUCCUCCUGCCACACCCUCCUGAGUAGCUGGGAUUACAGGACACAGCCCUGGUGAUGGCUUUCUGAGGAUGACACGAUGGAGGCUUCUCCAAUAGCUCUAAAACUGCGGUGUGGAAAACAUUCGGCAGCCUCAAAGAGCGGUCUUGUUGACCCCAACUAUAUCAUUUUUCAUCAAAAUCAUUCUUGUAAAGAAUGACCAGGCAACACUCUUUGAAAAUUGGAGGCCAUUUGCAGCUGCUCUCUGUUGAGGAAAGUGAAUAAUAGGGUGCCCUCAAGGAAUUGCAAAGGUAUCACUCAACAGAAACUUUCGUGUCUGAAGAAAACUAGAUCAUUUUAUCAUGGUAGGCAUGCUGAUAUGUUUGCUUUAAUAAAAUGCCAUAUUUCUGCCUUUAAUCUCUUGUCAACCCGCUAUUAAAAAGCCCCAAAGUGCAUGUGUGCAGCGCAUGUAAACACUUGUGGUUUUGAGGUUACCACAGAACAUACUAAUAAAGCAUGUAAUUUGUGUUUUGUGCA